UAGGUUUAAAUGAGGUAAAUCUGAAACAUUAAAUUGUAAUCAAAAUCAAUAGUGUGCGUGUGAAUAAUAAAGUUUACCUAAAAAUUAAACAAGUUUAAAUGGCGUACUUUCUCCUCU
rnacentral:rRNA from 14 species